AAUCUGAAAGAAGAGUUUAAAAGCUUUAAAAUGAUAUACAACACUUUAUAAUAUCAAUUUUUAUGUUUAAAAAUUAAUAAGAUGAAUGUGUCUUGUCCGUGAUUUCACCAAAGUAACACCAGUAGCUAUUUUGUUAAUAACCAUUUCAUGUGUGUAUAUUGUUAUUCUGAUCAAAAUUUGAUUUGAAGUCUUUAUCCUAUUUUCUGAUUUAGAAUUAAUAGUCGUAUCAAUUGUAUCGAUAUCAUUGCAACUUUUGUUCAUAAACAUAUAAA
rnacentral:lncRNA from 1 species